UGAGUACGAGACGCUAAGGCGUCGAAGUAGUGGAUGUCAUACUUCCAAGAAAAGCUUGCACUGUCAUAAGUAAAAAACGCCUGUACCAUAACCGACACAGGUGGGUAGGUAGAGUAUACUAAGGGGCGCGAGAUAACUCUCUCUAAGGAACUCGGCAAAAUAACUCCGUAACUUCGGGAGAAGGAGUGCCUUAUUCGUAAGGCUGCAAUAACAAGAUCCAAGCAACUGUUUAUCAAAAACACAGGUCUCCGCUAAGUCGUAAGACGAUGUAUGGGGGCUGACGCCUGCCCAGUGCCAGAAGGUUAAAGAAGUCGGUUAGCAUUAGCGAAGCUGGUAACUGAAGCCCUGGUGAACGGCGGCCGUAACAAUAACGGUCCUAAGGUAGCGAAAUUCCUUGUCGGGUAAGUUCCGACCCGCACGAAAGGCGUAAUGAUUUGGAUACUGUCUCGGAGAGGGGCUCGGUGAAAUAGACUUGUCUGUGAAGAUGCGGACUACCUGCACCAGGACAGAAAGACCCUAUGAAGCUUUGCUGUAACUUGAAAUUGAAAUUGGACUUUAUUCGCGCAGUAUAGGUGGGAGGUGUUGAUUAUAAUCUUGCGGGAUUAUUGGAGCCAUCAGUGAGAUACCACUCUUGUAAUGUUAGAUUUCUAACUUUGAAUCAUUAUCUGGUCAAAGAACAGUUUCAGGCGGGCAGUUUGACUGGGGCGGUCGCCUCCUAAAUGGUAACGGAGGCGUACAAGGUUUCCUCUGAACGGGUAGAAAUCGUAUCUAGAGUGUAAAGGCAUAAGGAAGCUUGACUGUGAGACCUACAAGUCGAGCAGGGACGAAAGUCGGUCUUAGUGAUCUGACGGUACUGAGUGGAAAGGCCGUCACUCAACGGAUAAAAGUUACUCUAGGGAUAACAGGCUGAUCUCCCCCAAGAGUUCACAUCGACGGGGAGGUUUGGCACCUCGAUGUCGGCUCAUCGCAUCCUGGGGCGGUAGUACGUCCCAAGGGUUGGGCUGUUCGCCCAUGAAAGCGGUACGCGAGCUGGGUUCAGAACGUCGUGAGACAGUUCGGUCCACAUCCGGUGUAGGCGUUAGAAUAUUGAGAGGAGCCUUCUUUAGUACGAGAGGACCGAGAAGGACAUACCUCUGGUGUACCAGUUAUCGUGCCAACGGUAAACGCUGGGUAGCUAUGUAUGGAGUGGAUAACCGCUGAAAGCAUCUAAGUGGGAAGCCCACCUCAAGAUAAG
rnacentral:rRNA from 1 species